AACGAACGCUGGCGGCAUGCCUAACACAUGCAAGUCGAACGAGACCUUCGGGUCUAGUGGCGCACGGGUGCGUAACGCGUGGGAACCUGCCCUUAUGUUCGGCAUAACUCCCCGACAGGGGUGCUAAUACCGGAUAAUGUCUUCGGACCAAAGAUUUAUCGCCUUUGGAUGGGCCCGCGUUGGAUUCGCUAGUUGGUAGGGUAAAAGCCUACCAAGGCGACGAUCCAUAGCUGGUCUGAGAGGAUGAUCAGCGACACUGGGACUGAGACACGGCCCAGACUCCUACGGGAGGCAGCAGUGGGGAAUAUUGGACAAUGGGCGAAAGCCUGAUCCAGCAAUGCCGCGUGAGUGAUGAAGGCCUUAGGGUUGUAAAGCUCUUUUACCCGGGAUGAUAAUGACAGUACCGGGAGAAUAAGCUCCGGCUAACUCCGUG
rnacentral:rRNA from 1 species